AUUAACCUCUUGGAAGGGGAUGGAAUGCCCAUUUGAUCAAAACAUAAGACACUGCAAAGGUCAAAGCAGCAUGCGGUGGAACUGCAUCUCACUGAAUGUAGGACUGGUUUGAAGGGAGGCUGGAGGAAUGUGAAGCAUCCUGCUUACAAUUCUGCAGAUCAGGUAUUCAGAAUUAUUGAGUGAUGCUGAUGCGGGUCUCUGGGGCUCCGAAACUGGACAACCAACUGCUCAGGCAACUGGCAUUUACGUCUAUGGACUCCUUGGGACUCAUGGGCUACUUCUGAAGAGUCUGCAAAAGUUCAGUGAGCCUCAAAGCAACAAAUAGAGAAAAGAGCUGCAGGAUCUAUAGUGCAAGGUGUCAAGGAGACAGGUGCAAGACCAGCCCCUCAGAGAACCAAGUUUCAAGUAGAGACACACAACAGUUUCCUGCAGAUGUGCAGGCCAGGAGCAUAUCAGGCGUGAUGCUCUGCCAAGCUGUAAGCAGCAGAAAGGAACACAGGAUGCCAAACACCACCUGCCUGCUCCCUGCAGCCACCGGUAGGCCAUGAUGCAUGCUCCGUGCUGGGGCAACUGCUCUGGAAGAGAUCAUGUUCCUUGUCUUUUUCCAGCAUGAGGGAUGAAAAGGGGAGACUUGGAUUUCUCUCCUUUAGAGGAGGUUGGGA